rnacentral:misc_RNA from 1 species
AACGCACAUUGCGCCCAUUGGUAUUCCGAUGGGCAUGCCUGUUCGAGCGUCAUUAUCAACCGUCAAGCCUGGCUUGUUAUUGGACCCGCCGUCCGGCCAAAGGACGGGUCCCAAAGGCAAUGACCGUGUCGAGUGUGACCCCAGAUGCAAUGAGCUUUGUUAAGCACGCAUCUCAGGGACCACCCGGCCCGGCCGCGACCAUUUUUCUCAGGUUGACCUCGGAUCAGGUAGGGAUACCCGCUGAACUUAA